UCUAUGCGAUUUAUUCCCCAAUCUCUUCAACAAGCAACUGAUAGCCUUUCCCCAUAAACACGUAAUCAUCUUCAAAUAGAAAUGAAAAGGAAGGGUGUAAUUACAAUUUUUUUUAAAAAAAAAGCAGAUUUGCGCCUUGCUACAGUAUUACUCCAUCUUUAGGUGGAUACUGUUCAAAAACGCAAAAAAAGUACAAUUUGGGAUGGGUUUUGGAGUAUGAUUGGAGCUCAUUUCAACUACGAAGAUGGAUUAUGGAGUAUGGUUGGAGAUGCCCUAAAGAUUUAUGAACUAUUCUAACUGGAUUAGGCCAUUUAUUUGGGAAUUUGUGAAUUCUUUUCAAUUUUCGAAUGCCAUUUCCCAAUUUGUGACAUCGUUCUGUAAAAUUGUUGGAACGCAGAGAAUAAUGCUUCUAAGGCAGAUUCCAAAGCGCUGCAUUUACACCGCCGCCGCAUUGCCUGAACCGCGGCCUUGGCUUUUCGUGGGUUUGGGCAAUCCAGGCGACAAAUUUAUGGGCACCAGACAUAAUGUGGGGUUUGAAUUCAUUGAUGCAUUUGCGAAAUCACAUGGGAUUGCGAUGGACUCUGUGCACUGCAAAGCCAUAUUUGGAAAAGGUAUUAUAAAUAUGGUUCCAGUUUUCUUGUCAAAACCUCAGACUUACAUGAACUUAAGUGGUGAAUCUAGUGGUCCUCUUGCAGCCUACUAUAAGCUUCCCCUUAACCGAGUUCUAGUGCUUCAUGAUGACAUGACUUUGCCCUGUGGAGUUCUUCGUCUGAACCCCCUUGGAAAUCAUGGAAGUCAUAACGGAAUGAAGAGUGUUAUCAAUCAUUUUCGUGGGAAUAGAGAAUUUCCUCGUUUAAGAAUUGGUAUUGGGAGACCUGCCGGUCAAAUGGAUCCAAAAGCAUUCUUACUCCAAAAAUUUAAUGUCAGAGCUCGAGAGAGGAAUGGCAGAUUGAUGCUGCAUUACAAGAAGGUGUCGAUACUCUAACGCAGGUGUUGUCCAAAGGCCUCACAGAGAGUGCACGAUGCUUCAACAAGGAGCAGAAAUACAAGCACUUGAGACUACAAACCAUGCCGUAUGACAUGGCAACGUGAACGCCAUCGUUUGCGGACUUGCUGCGAAUGGAGUUAGUUCCUGUAGCAUAUUCACAACCCAAAGUGGCUGAUAUCUCGAAGGAAAACAGCGCGUCGUGUAGCUUCACACGCAGCUGAGAUGAAGAGAUGUGGAAAUCUCAUCAAGUCCAAUGAGCUGCUGUUGAUGCGUAUAGACAGGAGUAUACCUUUGUUUUUUUCUUUUCCUUUUCCUUUUGAUGAUAGUACAUGGUGGUUCAAUUAAUUGUAAAUGUACUUAAUUGCUAAAGUAGAGCGGUUUUCUGGAUGUGUACGGAGUAGUAAGAUAAUAAAAAGUGAAAAUUGUGAGAUAGUGAGUAUUAGUUUUA